rnacentral:lncRNA from 1 species
UUAGAAGCAAGUAAAGCAGCUUUUAUAUGGGCAGAAAAAAAUUUUGCUACCCAAGCCAGCUACGGAAAGAUACGAGAACACACAAUUAUACUGCACUAACUAUUUCACAUUAUAUUCAAGGUUUUCUUCAAUAAUAAACAGUAUACGCUUGUUAUUAUGCAUGAUCCUAGUGCGAAACUUAAAAAAAAACAAACACAUAAAUUAGGCAAACACAUCCUUUUUAGCGCUUCAGACACCUUUUCCACCUUUCAUUAGUUUAGAAUAAUAACUAGCUCAUCUUCUUUUUGGCAUGAGAAAAUCAGGAGGUAGAGAUAGUGGGCUUUUUAGUCUCUUGAGCUGACAAAAAACUAAGAAGAACGAGGAAAAAGUUCAAAAUGGUCUCCUGAACUAAACAAUUAUCAAGAAAUAGCAAUUGAUGAUCUUAGCAUUCAUACAAAACAAAUUGACGUAUCUUUUGAUAACUUUUUUAUUUGUUUCUUCAUUAAACAUUUUACCACCACAAAAGUUGAAGCUUUCGGAGAAAUAUAACAGCAAGAAUCACGAAAUAAGAUGUUCUUAACACUUAGUGACUAGUAAUCUGCUGCCCAGGGAAGGAAAGAGCCUGCUGGCAGUAGCAAAAGGGGAGGGCAUCAGCAUCUUUUACUCUUCCCUUAUCCAUAAAGCUCCUGUAUCCAUAAUAUCACAAUACCUGUAGCUUAGGAUAUAUCUGGGACAUAGCAUCCUUCAAUUUGGUUGCCUACAGAAGAACAAGCACCAUAAAAGCUUAACUACAAUACAUCAUCCAAAUAGAAGUCAUCUUUAGAAGAAGCUGAUAAGUAAAUGAUCCAUGACUGACAACACAACUCUAUUGCAAAUUAUGUGCCACAUCCAACAAGUUCAUUACUGUUGAAGGGACAUAUAACCAAGCAAUUUCUAGAAAGAAUGUCCUCAAAUAGAUGUUUCCAGAAUUUUUAUUAUGACACAUCAUAUAUAAUUCUUUAGACUUACCUUAGUUAAAAGAUACUUGGUUGUAAUAGGAUAUGAUGACCAAAAGUGCUUCAAUAACUCCUGGAUGGAUGACCAGUGCUGAAACAAACAGAUUAUUGAUCAGUUAUCUCAUGAAUAAGACAAUAGUAUGAACACAAUUAGCCCAACUACAGCUAUUGGUGUCAACUCACAAGUAAUAGUUCCUCUCUGGUGAUUUUUGGCAAACUAUCCAAAAUACUCUCGUUUGGAUUCCUCCCAAGAUGAUACUUGUUACUUGAAAUAUUCUGAGCCAAUCCAUUCAAAACCUACAUAUAAUAGCACCAAGCAAUUAUAUUCCUGUGUCAACGUAAGUGCAAAUCAACGUGUUUCGACAAGUGAGGAAAAUGACAGCACCUUAAAAGCAACUUCUGAAUUAAUUGUGGGCUCAGUCAAACCCUGAAAUUUAAUCUCGGAGAUGCACUCCUUCAAAGAACAAUAUGCUUCACGAGUACUCACACUACAUUUUAAUUGUUUUGCACCAGAAACAGUAUCACCAAGAGUGCUGAAAGCAUUUGCUUGCUGAGAAUCGAAGUAGUCACGAGGAUCCUGAGUCAAGAAGAAAGAAUAAUUUGAGAAGCUAUAAUUUAGAAGAUCAAAAGAUUUUCAAACAAUAAAAAUUUAACCUUAAUACUAAGUGGUGCAACUGCAGGGUCACGAGGUGCCUGAAGAUCCUCAAUCUCAGUCAUUCGAGAAAUCCUCUCUAACCGCUCUUUGUCCAAGUACACAUCAGAUGCAUCUUUAGCUAACUCAGCUAAAGGGGAAAAAAAUUGUACAAAGAACCCUUAACUACAAGUUCUUUAGUUUUAAUUCAAGAUAAAAGUUUAAAGAACCCAAAAAUAAAAAUAAAAAUAAAAAACAACCAACAAUACGAAGAGUAUUAACCAUGUUUCGUCCUUGCAAGUGCUUCAGCUACAGAUCUUGUAUCUCCUAGCUCAACAUCUACACCAAUUUGUCAACAAAAGUCAAAACACAAGAAAAAGCAUUCUAUAGUCACAUAUCACUCAUCCCAAACAAGAAAUCUACCACUGCAAGCAGAAAGACCCGCAAAAACCUUUUGUUAUAAAGUGAAAAAUAAGAGAUUCCUCAACAAAUGUUAUUAAAAGGAAACAGACUUUCAUUAGCAGCGAAUACUAGUUGGCAACAAAUGGAAAGAAAGAAAGAUCCAGGUACCAUUGAUUGAUAUCGAUUGCUUUUCAAUAAUUCCAAUCAUCUAUGACCGCAAUACAUGUUUAUGGGGAACUCAGCAGGACAUCCAUCUUGUCAAAAACUUUGCCUUGGGUCACAAUGUCCUAAUGACACAACAUAGUAAAUAAGUCCCAAUGGAAAAUACUACCAAGCAGGGGGCGCCCUUCCGUUAGUUUAGUCACUGGAUGAAAGAAAGCAGACAAAAACAACUGCAGAAUGGCAUCCACUGGUGGAAUAAAUAAACCAUCUUUUCAUAGAAAACAUUUACACACCAUCAAUCACUCUUACACAGUUGCAUGAUCAGGAAAAGAAAAUUGCAGAAGACAGAGGAAAACAUGCUAAUCAGUUUGUAUUCUUUAAACCAGAGAUGUGUAUGGUAUUUAAAAACAAUUGCCCAUUGUAAAGCACUUCUACAUACUUUCUCUCUUACUUUGAUGAAGGAUUUUUUUUUUUACCUAUAACUCUCCCUUGAAGAACGACUGCUGCAUGCUGGUUGAGGUGUUGUGAGAAAGAUCUUCGGUAUGGUUCAUAUUGCGAGUCUAAAACAUCCUUGUUGUCAUUGCGAGGUAGCCCAUGGUCCUGUAUCUUGCAAAAAAUACUACAUGAGUCUGCAUAAUAACAAUAUCACCCUUUAUACCUCAAUCUAAAACCAAUCCAAUAAGAGAAGCUCUUAGAGUUGUAACAAAAAGAAUAUUUUUCUGAGCAUACUUUGUUACAUCCACUUGGAUACUGGAUGGGAGAAAUAAGGAAAUAACAUGUUCUCAUUUGCAAUGAUACUGGCCACUUGGCCACUCCCAAAAUGGACAAACAUGGAAAAUAACAGAACUCUGCAUUCUUAGUCAAAUAAUGAAGUAUGGACAAGAAGCAGAACAAUCAGCAGCCUACACCUUGAGAGAGUUUAUAAAGCAGGUAUUAAAGUAUCCAAUAUAACAAAUAAAUGCCAAUGCACAUACCGGGAGAUGCAUGUAAUCAUCUCCUUCAUCAGCUUCCAUGUCCAAAGUAGGAUCCACCUGCCUAAUCUGAAAGGACAGAUAGAGGGAUAAACUAUUCAAAUUUAAACCAAUUCAAGCACAAAGUUUUGAGAGUACUUCUAAGAGAAAAAUUCAUAAGAGAGAACAGAACCAAAAGCAAAUAUCAUAGCAUAGAAAACAAAUCAUCAUAAUGCAGGUCACUCCUGAGAUAAAGUUGAGCAUAAAAUGACAUUCACGUAGAACACCUUCUUCCGAGCUUCAUUAACUAACAUGUCAUCUUGCUUCAAAAAUACGGCAAGUUCCUCAUCUUCUGCAGCCUCUGCUGCUGCAGCAAUGACAUUUUUUGUACUAUGGAGGUAUUCCGCUCGCGAGUAUUUAGUCCAAAACUCUUUUUCAGUCAUCUGGCAAAGAAGACAUUUGAUGAUGAAAAACAGCACAGCAACAUUGAAGGAAAGAUCAGUAAAGGCUUAAAGAAGUCAAGUCUGUGGUGAAGAGAUCAGCCCGGGUAGAAUAACAAGUUUAACUCUACCUUGUUUGGCACAAAAUUGAGAUAUGCUUGGCGAACAGCUGGUUUCUCUGCAAAAAUCUAAAGAUGACCUUAAGUUAGAUCCAAGGGAGGAGAAAAUCUUGAAGAUUGCAAAGAAAUUUUUAGAACAGAUUUUAGAUAUAAAAAGAACUACUGUCACCAGACUCUUUCCAUUUGUCCCAGCUCAUGUUCUUAAACUGUCCCUACCUAUGAAACUUCAUAUCACUAUUUCAAUAAAUACUUAUAAAUAGGUUAGAACUCAAAUAAAUUCAUGAACAUCUUUAUUUUUUCAGUCUCAAUGAUAAGGUUUUCAAUUAUUACAAGUUCGAUUGGAAGCUCCUGUUGUGAAUAAGUAGAGAUUAGGAGCACCUAGGUUCAAGUCCAAGUCAUUGAACAAAUUAUAGGCAUUCAACAAAAGUUGGUCAACACAUACAACUUGAGGGAACAGGAAAAGAAGUACAUCCCUAUGCUGGAAAAUUUGGAACAGGAAAUUGAAGCAGAAAUAUCCAUAAGCGUAGAGCAAUGCAAAAACAUAAAAGUACAGCAAUAAUAAUUUGGUUAAACAAAAUAUCCUACUGUUAUUCAUGAAUAUAGAAACAAAUAAAGUUUAAUUUUACAGAGCACUGCAUAUUGAAAUAAGUUACUCACUUCCAAAGCAGAAUAGAGUGUCUGGAUUGAUUAAAUGAAAGAAAAUCACAAUACCUGAAGGAUAAUCUCUGGUGUUAAGUUAAAUGUAACUCUGUUGGACUGCAAAAGAAAGAACAGGAAUUACCAGGAGCAGUACAUCCAAUACCAAAAUAAUCCAAUGAGAAGUUGAAAGGAUCAGCUUUAUAUUGACAAACAAAUGCAAAAACCAAAAACCUUCCUAGCAAAAGCAGUUAAAAAUAUAUAAUUUGAAAAGCAACGUGUAAAAGAGUUAAUUGUUAUAGAGAAUCAUUCCAUUAGGAUACAAGUAAGUUUGUUGAAUAAACUUAUCAAGCAACAAGCGCAAACAAAAGAAAAGGAUACAUGCAAGUGCAAUGUGCAAAGAAAAGCAAAUCAACAAUAUACCUGACCAUCAGCUAAAGGUUUGGUACUCCACAUAUCAUUUUUUAAUGCCACUCUUUGCUUUGGCCUCCUGCUGUAAUUCUGCUCCAACAACUUCUGCAUGUUGUCGGUAAAUUAAAAGGUUCUGUCACAAAAUUCGGAAUUCAAAUAUAAUUCCAAGUCAAGAAACUGCACCAAUAAGUAGUCAUAAAAAUCUGACAAAGGUUCUAAAAUAUGCAGAUCCUAUCUGGAGUCUGGACAAGCCUUCACAUUGAAUUUUUUUUGUCUUGUACAAUUUUGACUAGCAAAUGCAUUUCAUAGUUAUGCUCCUUUACACUUUUCUCUUUCCAAUUCUUGAAUACCUUCUCAUGGACAUAAAAUGCAAUGGUGUCGCAGAGCGAUGCUCCCAUAUAUGAAAUCAAAAACUUAUCCUCUUAUAAGUGACUAUUGUGAAUGUUGUCCAGAGAAAGAUAAAAAUACAGUAUAUACAUGUCCAAAAGCAACAACCAAUCAAAUCUGUUUACUUUCUUUUCAGUUACUAACCUUCCUCGUUGCCCAGAAUUCAGCUUCAGAUAGGAUACCUCCAAUCACAAAUUGCUUGUGAAGUUUCUGUAAAUCACUGCCAGUGAAUUUUCAGUUAUGUUAACCAAAAAAGUAUUUGUGAUACAGAGCCAUUUCUAAUCAAAUGAAAGACAAUUCUAGCAAUCUUAAUAUCAGUUAAAACCAAUACAGACUCAGUCAACCAGAUAGAUAAACCAAUUUGAAACUCAGUCAACCAGAUAAAAUUCAAGAUUAUCUAUGUUAAGGUUAGGAUGACAAACGCAAUAUUUAUCUGCUUCUGCAAGAGAGUUUUUUCAAAUAUAGCAGUUCUAAAGUGGUCACAUGUCACCAACCAACUCAAGAUUCAGUAUCCUGUAAUAGUGAAUUUUGGGAAAUAUAAACUAUUUCUGUUACUUGGUGACCACCUGGGUACAACUGUUGCCAGCUUUUGUAGAGACUUUACCGUGGUGUAAUCCCUCAAUCACACAGCUAACUAUCCAGGACAGGAGAACGUACUUUUGACAUCAGAAUGCCAAGGACAGCAGGAGCUUCUAAAGGAGAAAGACACUCUUUUUUGGGGGCUGAGGAGGGAAUACCCGAUCCUAGAGGUGGCAGUUUGCAUUUGUAUCCACACAUCAAUCCACAUAAACCCAUCUUAAACGGAUUUGGAUGGCUGAGAGAAACUAUGACUUUAAACAGAUGGCAAUUUAAACUUAGUUAAGUUACAACUUUAAAUGGAUUAUACAUGUCAUCCAUAUAAAUUCAUCAAAAAAUGAAAAAAAAAAAAAAUAAGUCCUCUCCCCACACACACACACCCACACUCACACACUCAAACACGCAUGAAAACAAUUACAGGAUCCCACCUCACCUGCAAACACAGUGGCACACACUUUCUUUCAUGCAAAAAGAUGCAGUCACACACAAAGAUAGCAAUAUGCCCUCUCAAAGAGAGUUAUUCGUAAUUAGUGGAACUCAGAAAGAAAUCGAAGCAAAAUGAGACAGUCAGAGCUUGGCAACAUUGCCAAAUUCAAUUCAAACUUCCUUUUGGAAAUUAAUGAAUUAGACAUGCAGUAGUAGCCGACCAUUCUAUGGAAAAUUUGACCACUGUAAAUCCUAGGAACUUCUACGGAAAAUUUGACCACUGUAAAUUCUAGGAACUAGGUUUUAGGAGUAAAUGGUUAAUUAAGUGGAUAAAGAUUUGGCAUUAUCCACUUAAUCCCAUCCAUUUAGAUCCAUUAAUGAAAUCGUUGUAAUUGGAGUGGAUUAAAUAUAUCCACUAUUUAUCUAAGUGAAGCCAUUUAUCAAAUAUUUAUCCACUUUGCCACUUCUGUAGCAAGCCCACUUUUGGCCACUAAGAUAUUUUGAUUUCAUAUCCCACAUUCAGCAUUCAAAGUUCUAAAGCGGUACACUUUGGCCAAUCGAGACAUCAAACAAGCAACACACCAUAUCAGAUGAUCUGCUUUAAAUUAACUGUAUGAAAUUAGACAGAGCAGCCAAAAGUGUACUACUUUAGAAGUUGAGUGGGUGGUUUGAAAAAGUUAAUAGUUUAACAGCCAAAAGUGAACAGCUUAGCGCCCGUUUAUGUAUUCUUCCCACCCCUUUCCUGUCAGAGAAAAAAUUCCCAGGUGUAAUGUAUAUGCUGAAUUUCUAUAUAAUCAAUCUAAAAUGCAGCAAUGCACCUAAGAUAUUAAUGAAACACAAAUGUUCCUCAAUAAGAUUAAGGAUGCAGCAGCAUUACACAGAUAUAGGAAGGAAAGGGGUAUAGCACUUCUACCUAUCCUCCUGCAGUAGCUUAAUACGACGCUCCAUUUCAGCCGCACUAAGUUGCUCAUCUUGAAUCGGAACAGCAGAUUUUUCAGGAACUGUUCUCCCAGCUUCUCCGGAUAGUGCAAUAGCUGAGGCUGUUCUUCAUUCAGAUAUGCAUUAUUUCCAUAGAAACAAUACAUUAAUUAGAUUUAAAAAAAAAUUGAAAAGUUCCAAGUACAAAUGCAUAGACAUCAUAUGAAGAAUGGUUAAUGCAAUCUCAUUUACAUAUUAAGCACUAGAUGGUCAGCAUCACAAAUGGUCAGCACAGUAAAGCCAUAAUUAUUUUCAUGAUAAGUUAAGAGUGCAGGAUAACUGAUUAGUAACUGUAAUUUCACUACCUGGUUGUGUACCAAGUUCUUUCAACUGUAAGUCUUUUCUAUACCAAACAACGUAGACCAUAGCACUUUAUAUGAGCAAGUGAAGAUAUAUACGUGCCAUAUGAAGAAUUCGUUUUACAAGAUGGUGCAUAUAACAUUGAAUCUCCUUUUAAAAGUCACCAAAAGAAGAUUAAGACAGAAGCAGAUAGCAACUAUUCCCAAAGUUCAUAUAAUGGUCUAGAGGCCACAUGCCAAUCCUUGUGUAGGAUCAAGGUAUCAAUUGGAAACAUGAUGUCAGUUACUAGGCUCUGAUUGCUAGUUACAAAUAGAGGCAAAGAACCUAGGUCACCAGAUAAGUCCUGAUUUUCACUUCCAAGCUGUCAAUUAGUACAGGUAUUUCAAAGUUUCAACUAAGUUUGGCAUGAAUCUAAAGGCUCACAACAGCUUAAUAAUCAAAAUUUGUCAAGUACCAGACUACUUCGGUAACUUGAUGCAGAUAUGGAUAGUGAUUAUGGUUUGAAAAAAAAAAAAAAUUCUCAAACUUUAGUUCUGAGCACAAGUACGAAUUAGAUGGUAAACAAAGGAAGGGGAAUUUCAUUUUUACUUAUUAACCAAUGGCCCGAUUUUUCUUAAAAAAUAAACAAAAAAGGGAAAAAAAAAAGUUUGUACUCAUAUAUGCAUGUGUACCUUAUAAGCAUCUACAGUGCGUAUUUGAUACACGAAGAUAUAUAUACACACUUAAACACAGAUCCAGAGGGCAAUCAUAUGUACAACUGAAGUCAAGCACAUAAUAAUAGGGUAAUUUAAGCUCUUGUAUCCCACCUACAAAAUCCUUGCAAACAUUGCGGUCUGGGAAGUUCUCAAACUCAAAAAUGUAAUUGCCACCCUGUCAUAAUGUGGAGUUAAGCUCAUACAGUCACGUCUAGCUCGAAAGGAAUAAAUGCAACAGUUUACAGGAGUUACAGCUGUGCAGUAAAAGUGACCUAGUCAAAGCAUAUCGAACCUGAUCCUGAGUAAGGUUAAGGAGCGCUUGCUUAGUUCCAUCCUUGGUGAAUUUGUGCCCUGAAAAUUUCAACAUGUCCAUCAAUCUAUACUACACUGCUAGACAGAUCACAUCCGGGAAAAAAAAAUUAUGGGCAUGUAGAAAUGGGACUCAUACAGAUUUCAUGACCAGCUUAUUAAUAGUUUCUUUCUACUUAUUGGUCCAAAUACUGAAGUGACAAUCCAGGGACUGAUCCAUCUGAUAGUAGUCCAAUUCCACAAAAUUAAGGACAUUAAUCAAGACAACUCAGCGCCUUAAAAAAGAAAGGAUCAGCAGAACAGCAGCACCUUUAAUUGUUCUGAACUCUACAUUAUGUUUCACAGGUGAACUCGGAUCAUUUGGCAUGAAAGUAAACCUAUCUUUAGUCUGCAAAACAGCCAAAAAAAGAAAUGGAAAAUAACUACUAGAAUGUCAGAAGGCAUAUAAUUAGACAAAACAACCAAAUAGAUAUGCAAUUAUCCAAAUGAGUUCUAACUGAUUGAAAAUAAAUGAUAAAUUACCAAUUUCAAAACGCCAGGUGUUCCAGGGUCCUUCACAGAUGACUUGUGCCUGGCUCUCUUAACCACCACCUGCUGCUGCUUAUCUGCCAUACAGUCUGCACAAUAAUGUGCACGGAUACAGACCGAAAAAAUGAAUCCAAUUCCGGAAAGGAAAAAUAGUCCUUAUGCUCCUUUACUUAAGCAAGGCCCUAUACCAAAACGAAGCAGAAGUUUCGAUUAGAUUGGGAAAUUGGCAAUUUUCUCCAAGAAAAAAUUAUUAUAAUAGGCAGACUUCUUCAACUUUCUGUUCAGCAAUUAAAAAAAAAAAAAGAAAAUCCUCCGAGUCAACCCGUUUCAACUCUGGACCAAAUCAAAAAACCUUUCUACUAAAAUUAUGAAAAGAAAAUGAAGAUCCUCCAAAAACAUCCCAAAACAGUGACAAAUAAAAUAAAAUGGACAAACUUAAUGAAAGGAAAAUAAACCAAGGACAAUAAGAAAUUAAUCUCCAUACCAAUCUUUAGGCAAACUAGUCUCAUUAAAAACCCUCAAAAGAAAGCAACAGCAAGUGGGUGGAAGAAAGGAGAAGGUAGUUGACAAGGGAAGAACGGAGAAGGUGAUUGAAAGCAAGGAAGGAGAAGGUGAAUGGCGACUGAUGCUUCGAUGUGGCGGAAGACGCCGGUGAGUGCGCGGCGAGUAGCAGAGGAGUCCGCGUUGUUGGGUGAAAUGGGCAAUGUACUUCUGAGCUAAAGUAUGAUGAACUUUGUAUACUACAAGCAAGCCGGUAGCCAGUUUGCGUUGUCGGUUUUCUUUGAAAGGGGAAAAAAAAAAACUUUCAUUAGGGUUAAAUGCACUAAUUCCCUAAUUUCAUUCUCAAUUGCAGUUACUCCCCCACGAGUUCGUUUGGUUCAUGGGUUGGAUGAAAUAUGAUGGCUCAUUCUUGGAUUAUUAAUGUUGGAUUGAGUCAUCCUUGAAUUAACAAUCCAAAUUAUCUUAUGUUUGGUUGGUUCUAAGUUGGAUAGGAUAUAUUGAAAAAUAAUUCUAUUUGUGUUUAGUUGGAGAUUGAAUGAGAUAGAAUUACUAUUUUAACGAUCAAAAUACCCCUUAAUUUGUAGGAUCAUUUUAAUAAAGUAAUUUAAUAAUUUAUAACUUUUAUUAAAAUAUAAAGUAAUUUGAAGCUUUAGAAUUAUAAAGUGAAUCAAAAGUUUUGACAUAUAAAAAUUUGCAUUCACCCAAACUUAGGCCAUUUGGACUCUUCAAAAAUAGGUUUUAAUCUAGUUUUUGAAUCUAAAUUUGAAAUUCAAUUAAAUAAUGGGCCGAGUUUUGACUAAAUUCACGUUAAAUUGAAUAAAAUUCAACCCAUUUAAGAGUUUUAAAUGAGCCAAUAUAGAAGAUUUUUCUUUAGACAAUCUUGAACUUAUUGAAUCGCUCAUUCAUAAAACCCAAUUGAUAAGGUCAUGUAUUUAUAUAGAUUUUGGUUGAGAAAAUAAGGUUAGUAAGGACAAUAUAGUCCUUUUAUUAUGAUGUACGUAGGGGCAAAUUAGUAAAAAUGUAAAUUAAUUAAUAGGGGUAAAUUUGUCAUAAAAUUUAGAAUAAUGAAUAAGGGGAAAAUAGUCAAAAAAAUUAAUGUAAUUAGUAAGGGCAAAUUAGCCCAUUUAUAAUCAUUUACUAGUGAGAGUACGUUUGAAACCAAAAAUUCCAGAUUUCUGGAAAAAAAUUUCACCCUGUUCUGUCCGGUUCCAGUUCGUGUGGUUAGAGGUCGAAUUAGGCUUGGCAUCAUGUUUAACGUAUUGAAUUGACUAUCUGACUAUGUGUUCGGAAUCUCACUGAGCUUUUAGCUCACCCCUUUAGUUUUGUUUUCCUUAACAGGGGACGGCGAGCAGGAUGAGAGCAUAGACUAGCCUAGUCUAGUUCUUUUGUUAUUCUUUGUAAUGGUUCUCGCCCUAGUGCUUGGCACGGGCUGGACGUAUGAAGGAUUGAGAACCUUUGUAUAUUCGAUCUUUAUAUUCCCUUUUGGGAUGGCAAUGUAUAUAAGUUCCGCUUUAAGUUUGGAUCGCUGCCCUAUUUAUUCUUGUGAUUUAUUCCGAUUUUAAUUGAGGACUGUAGUGAAUGACUGAGUCCCGGCGAGAGUUGGGCAGGCGACCCACCGAACCCCGGGGUACGCCCUAGGGGGAGGUGGGGCCGUCACACAUUAACCAUAGAUAGCAAGUAAUUCCAGAAACAUGACAAUAUAAAGCAAUAAUAAUAUUCAUUAAAAGGAUACGUGCUCACAUGGAGCCAUUCAUUCAUUCAUUCAUUCUCCUUUCAUUUCCUUAUUCCUCCAUUCGUUUGAAAAUGCAUUUUGAUAAGUAAAACCCUUCAUUUACAUGGACAUUCGUUUAUUCAUUUCAUUUCACCCCCUCCUGGACAUUGGUCAGGCUCCACCAGACUACAAGGUAAUACUCGAAUUUACCAAACGUUCACCCAGGGUCACCAAAUCGCCCGACCGAGUCCGCUUCUGGCUCAAGUCGACCGGCAACGAAGGGCAAGGGCCCAAUUCAGCCAAACGGCUUACAUUCAUGCGCAACUAGCAUUUAAUUAUUUAAUCAUUGAAAAUUUCACAUUCAUUUAGGUCGAGUGCGAUAAAGUACACACUCACAUAAAAAACUCAUUUUAAGCAAUCAUUGAAAACAUUUAACAUGUUAUCAUUCGUGCAUAACAAGUCAUAUAAUCAAGAACAAGCCACAUAGUCAAUGAAAAUAUAACAAACAAGAAACACUCACCUAUUUACGCAAAAUAACGUCCAAAAUAUCCUUCCGGAUAACACCCUCAAUCACCAAGAAACCCUAAUAUAAUCAAAAGAACAUAUUAUGCUUCAACCAUCAAAGAUGUAAGUGAUUCAAAGAAAAUUCGAAUACGUACUAGUACAAAGUAUAAAUAUGAUUUUGGUAGUGAAAAGAGAACAUAAGUAAAAUAUUUGUAAAACUUAUGCUUACUUGUAAAACUUUAAAAUCGUUAUUUGAGUCGAAGUGGCAAAGAAAACGUAUUUCUAGUAGUCGUAAAUUUCAUUUUUCCAAGGGUACAAGUUUCGGCCGAAUUCUAACUUAUAUACCUCGAUAAAAGAAGAUGUAAAUCCCCUAGAUGGUUCACGUGGUAUUCGCUCUCAAGCCUUACUCAAGUCGAAAGUAUAACGAUCUAGUUCUCGAGCGUAAAUUUGGGCAGCACGCCCUUUGUAUUUACCCAUUUUUCCGGCAUUUAUGGCUUCAUUCUUCAGCCCCAAAGUCAUACACAAAAUCAUCUCAUUUCAAUAGCCGUUCAAUAGGCUCAAAGUCAUACAAGUACAAAAUCAAACUAGGAAAAUGUCCGGAAAUGAAGUUUAAGUUAUAAAACAAAAGACAGAUUUGCCGUCGCUUAGCAUAACGGGCACAAUCAAAGAUACGCUUAUUGGAUUGGGGUGAAAUUUAUACCAUGUCGAAGAUAAGACAAAGGCCUACAACUUUGAUGAAGAUGACUCAGUCCAGUUUGUAGUGUAUCUAAGUCAAAAUUUCAAUUUACCGAACCAGAAUCUCACAUUCGGGUUAGUUAACCGCACUAUACGUAACCGACAAUAACUCAGGCUACCGAAGUCCGAUUAAGGCAUUUUCAGGGCCAUUGGAAAGCUAAGACAUAGCACUACAACUUUCAUGUUUUGGAUAAAUGCUAGUUCAGUGCGUAUCAAGGUGAAAAUACACGAUCAGAUUGGUGAAAUAUUCAAAACUAAUCACUGGAUUCACCUAGGAUAGUCAGGGUAUUUUGGUAUUUUAACAGGCUAAAUUGCUCCGAUUGAGCUGAAAUUUUACAGGUAACUAUAAAAUAUCAUUCUCUACAACUUUCAUGUUUUGUACUAAGCCUAAUUCGGCCUCUAACCUAGUCAAAAAAAACCUGUCAAAACAGGGGAGGUGAAAAACCCUAAGACUGAAAUUUCCAUAAUACUACUUCCAACUAUGAAAUAUGCUCAUAAACUACCAAAACUACAACUUUAAACCACUAAUUAGCAAUUAAUUGAAGUAAAGAGGAGGUUCUUGGAAAAAUACCUUGGAAACUCAAAAAAAUGGUAGCUUAGUAUCUUUCCUCCCACAAUCACUCCACCAACUCCUUCAAUCUUCCUUAAUAAGCACUUGUAUGGUGUAGUUUCAAUUUUGGUUGACUACAACUCAAGAUUUGAGCAAGUUUGGAAGCAAGAAAUUGAAGAGCUCUCUCUUGUUUCUCCCCUCAAGAAAGUCGGCCAAGAAGCAAGAAAAAUGAAGAAAUUUUUGGUCAAAAUUUGGUUUUUAGUAAAGGUGAAAAUUAGGUCAAAGUCCAACCUCCAAUAGGUUUGCAACACUUGGCCCUUCUAGUGUUUUCUCUAAUCCUUUGGCUUCCAAUUGUUACAUCAUAUACAAACCUCUAAUUAUCCUCUAGCACCUUGUAUAAUAAUAACACUUAGCACAAAAAUCACUUAGUCACCAAAAUUAUAUCGCACUAGCGGGUCCCACAUCUAUAACGCACUUCAAAUUAACGUACACUAACUCAUACUAGGAAAAAUGAUUUUAAAACUGUACUUGCUUGUAAAAAUGCAUAGAAAUUUAAUAUUUCCAAGGAAAGUAUAAAAUGUAGGCAAAGAAAUAAAAUAAUGCUAAGCAAAUGUGAAAAUUUUUAGGUUCUCACAAUGCACAUUUAAUUGAGAAUUUAAUUAUUUUAUUAAAAUACUACAACAAUCCCCACUUAUUUUAAUAAAAUAGUAUAAAAUUUAAAUGGCAAGGAAGGACUAUCAUAUAUAAUAUAGAUAGCAGUGCCUUAAACCUAUAUUUAGUGUUGAGGUGAUUUCUAAUACCAGAGCCAAUAGUGAACUACAAUCUUGAACUAUGGCUGCUUUUGGGAUAUUGGAUAUCACCUUACACACACAAUAGUUCAGGUGUUCUCAUGAGCCAAUAAAGCUGGCACUUUACGGCCUUGUGCUCAAUCCCAGUUUGUCCAUGUGUGUAUAAGAGAACAAGUCCCAAUUCUCUUUAGGACGGCCCCACCCUGAACACUCAUAUAGGUGAAAUCCAUCAAGGGUGCUCCCGUAACUCAAACACCCCACUCAUAAGAGCUAUAGAUUUCAUUAAGAGCAAUAUAGUUCAACCUUUCUUUCGUUACAGGAUGUAUGCACAUAUAGCAUAAGGAUGGACCAUGCUUAUCAAAAUUUGUGCAUACCCAUUUCAAAUCACCAUGUAAUUCAUUUUUCCCUUUGAAGCGAACUCUUGGGAUCUCCAAUCAUUAUGUUGGGUAUCCUUACAUGUGAUUUAUGAUUCAUGGACUUUAGUCACAUCCUUCUCAUGGUUGAUCAUAUCUUUGCCUCAACUUGAGUUGUUUACUAUUAUCACAAAAAUAUAAACAAAGAUAUGAUCUCAUUGACACUCGAGUCAAAUUAUUUCUUCAAUAACACAAUAAUACUGUGAUAAUACCAAUAUUUUGUGAGAAUAUUUCUUACAUAAUUGCCAUACAAGUAAUUAUAUACACUUCAAGUGAAGGCCCAAUAUUUUCAUUUUUUUCAUCUUAGUAACCAUUAGUCUCACUAGAAAUCAUCAACGUAGAUGACCAUUAGUUUACUACUAGGAGCUACUUUAUUUCUCAAUAAUUGUCAAUUUCAUCUAGUAGGCCAGUAGUCUAUAACCUACUAGGAACCAUUUUCACCAUCUCUAUGAAAUUUUCAUAGAAUUUCUUUUCACAAGAAUAUGAAAUACACAUUUCAAGUUUCUUCACAUUAUAUAACGUUAUAUUAAAGGAUUAAGAAAUCCAAAAACAUGAUACUCAAUGUCAUUUAAUAUUGUACUUAAUUGCAACUUUAAAAUCCAUACCCACAAGUUGCAAUUAUAACAUGAUAUCACAUGAGAUUUGUAUAUAUAUUUUUUCAAAAUAUAUAUCCAUGUCAUUUAAUUGAGUAUCCUCAAGUAAUUAAUCUAAUUCUUUGCAUUCAUUUUCAGCAAACAAAUAACCCCACUAUUUUAAUGCUUUAAUGAUAUGCAACUAAACAUAUAUCGCAUUUAAAAAUCAAGUCCUAUGCAUAUUAGCAUAGAAAAUUACUAUGACCCCCACCAUUUGCCACAACUUUAUAACAUGCAAUAGAGUAUAUAUCUAUUGCAAUUAAUGUAAAUGACCCAAUUAAUCAUACCCAUUGGAAGUUCACUUUUACUUGUUAAGAAGGCACCUUUAAAAUUUCUUCUAGAAUGCAUGAUGGCAACUUGUCCAGUGCAGCAACAAGUUGUAAUUAUUCAGUAAUUUGAACUCCUUCAAAUCUACUUCUCCGGUGCCAUAUUUUCCUGUUAAGCCUUCCAAAAGUUUUUGAUAUUAGGAUAAGAAGUUUCAUAAAAGUUAUGAACUUCAUUAGAAAGGUUAUAUAACAAAUAAUUCAAGCAAUGGAAUUCAACAACUUCCUUUUUUGCUGAAUUUUUCUCACAAUAUUGUUUUAUACUUCAUAUAUCUUAUUGGUUGAGAUCUUCUCAUUUUUUCUGUCCAUCGGUAGACUACUCAAGUCACUUGAGUUGAUAGUAAGGACUUACAAGUUGAACUCCAUCUUGAUCUGAAUCACCUUAAAAUUGGUGUUCACCUGGAACAAAAAAUAAAAACAAAUAUGUAAAAAUAAAAAAAGAUUAGACAAUAACAAUAUAUUAAUACUCAAGUGUGGAGGGUUGAGGCACGGGUAUCUCACUCUCUUUAAGGUGAUUCAAGCCUCUGCUGAAGAAUCAACUCCGAUGCAGCAGGUUCUCUAGCUUGUCACCCCCAAGAUACAACAGCCCAGCCACACUUGCUAACACUCUCUCUAGACUCCACAACUAAGAGAGUAUAGCUCUACAAACACCUUUUGUUUCUUGCCUAAUUAUGAGAUAGAAAAUAGUGAAUUUAGACUCAAAAAACAUAAGUUGUUGUAGUAGUAUUUUUUUCAUCCCAACUAUGCAUAUUUAUAGGUGAAGAAAAAUUAGACAAAUAUAACCUACACUACUAAUAAGAUACCAAGUAAAUGCUGAAAUUAUUGGCCAUUCAAAACACAUUGAAAUUUGUAUUGUAGAUUACAAAAACUUAUUGUAAUUGAAAAAUCAUAAUUUCACAUAAUAAUUCUUUGGUCAAUACCCAUUCAAUCCAAAUUUGAAUUGUAAGUUACAAAACCUCAAUGUAAUUGAAAAGCCAUAAUUUCAUACAAUAUAUCUUUAGUAAAAACCAUUCAAACACCUAUAAAUUUCAGAAAAUUUUACCAAUUUAUUUCCCUUGUAACAUGCACAUUUAACUGAGAAUUUAAUUAUUUUAUUAAAAUACUACAAGGAAUGUUAUAGGAGUAGAUAUAGAAUCCUACCUUCUAACAGUCAAUAAGUGGACACUAAUGGGAUCAUACAAUGACUCUAAGAGAUUAAUAGUAGAAGAAGUACACUACAGGAGAACUCAUGGUUUGUAUUUUAGAUGUGGACAAAAUUUUGGAUUGAGCAUCAAUGCACAGGCAAACAGGUCAAUGCUCUUUUAUGUGAAGAAAAGGAUGAUAACAUCUUUGAGGAUGCUAUUGCAGAAUAGGAUGAACUAAUAGGAAGGGCAGGAGAGUUGACUAACAUGUCACUGAAUGCCCUAUCUGAUGCUAGCAGAAGGAAGUCUAUUUCAGUCAUAGGAGUUUUGAAUGGUCAAGUCAUAAGAAUUUUGAUAGACAUUGGUAGUUCAGAUAGUUUCAUUAACCACAAGCCCGUAUAAUAUCUUGAUCUACUGUAUCGAUAAACCACUUCUUUCACAAUAUCCAUGGCUAAUAGAAUUACAAUAAAUAGUCGUGCAUUCAGCCCAUAUAUUACUUGGAAAAUCCAUUAGUAUAAAUUCCAAUUUAGUCUUAGAAUUAUGGAUUUGGAACAUUAGGAUCUUAUAAUAAGGGUUGAUUGGAUGAAUUUAUAUAAUCUUAUCACUUUUGACUUUUAUUAGUUAAGCAUGGCUCUAAGUUGCAAAAAUGAAUUGAUUCAUCUUCGAGGAUCAAUUAAUGAGCCAAUACUACAUUUGGUAAGAUGCAAUGAUCUAAGGGAUUUAAUUCAAGAUCAAGAAAGGGUUUGUACAUCCAUUCAAAUGCAAAUCUCCUAUAGCAUCUAGUUAAACCAAGAAAGCCGCUCAAAGCUUUGAUAUUAACUAGAAUAGACCAAGCCAUAGCACAUUGUAUGUUGACAACAUCCAUACUCAGACCAUCAGCUGAUAUGGAAUCUCCCAAAUAUUCGACUCUAGUUUGAGCAUAAGAGUGCUUAGACAUUUUGGCAUAUAGCUAGUUUUCCUUCAAAGUAGACAACAACAACUCUAAAUGUUGUAAGUGAGACUCCAUGGUAGGACUAACAAAUUUCCUCAAAAUGGCUAAAAAGUCUUGUUCAUAAGUGACUCAAGCAUUGAUAAAGCCAAAUGGCUUUACCAAAAAUUCAAAGUGCCUAUUUGAAAGGCAAUUUUAUAAGUAUCAAUUGACUUCACUCUGAUCUAGUGGUAACUUGAUCUCAAAUCUAGCUUAGAAAAAUAUUUUGUCCCAAACAGUUCAUAAUUAAUUCAUCGAUGUUGGGUAUAGGAUAUUUAUCUUAUUGGUUGGAACAUUUAACUUUCUUUAACUAGAACAAAGUCUUCAUGAAUCAUCUUUUUUUCUUAACCAAAAGUACAAGUGUAGUUCCUUCGUUUCUUUUCUCUAUCAAUUGAUUAAUUUAAUUUUUUGUAAUUAAUUCUUAAGUUUGAUACAGAUCCUAGGAGGCGUUCGCGCUCUAUUUCUAGAUCCAACAAUGAUUCGUUGGGGUCCAAUGAAUAGAGUCAAAAUCAAGGAAUUCAUGUUGCAAAUCCAAUUUUCAAAUUCCUUGAGAAAGCCGAGCUCAAGUUUGUUAGUUUGUGACUUUGAGUCUUUAAUUGUUCAAGUCGUUAGUUUGGUUAGUUAGCUAACUCUAUGAAUUGUUCAUGAUCGUGUGAUUAGCUAAUGUUGAGCAUAGGUUCGACUUGAUCAUUAGUUAGUUUGUUAAUCUUGUGGUUUUUGAUUAGUUGGUAGAUUACUUAGCUAGUCUUUAGCUUAGAAAUCCGGCCCGUUUUAAGAGAUAAGGGCCAUGAGUUUCCAAAUUGUGUGCAAAGUCUUGUUAGUUUCCUUGUUCUAAUUAGGUUAGCAGUUGAGUCUUGUAAGCCUAUAAAUAGGCAUCAAUUUUCGUUAAUAAAGGAUAGACGAAUUUUCAGAAAUACCUAUGUGUGAUUGAGAGAGUUUUGUCUUGGAUUCUUUGAAGUGACCUUGAACACCUUAGAGUUUGUCUCGAGGGUUCAACCUGGUUUAUUAAUUAAAGAUCGCGUUUGAUUGUAGCCCCAUUCUACCAAUCUUAAUUUAUCUUGAGUGGUCCCUGAUCGAAUUAGGUUCCAUCCCUUAUACCAAGGUUCGUUAUCUACGUGAACAACGAGUUGAGGUUCAUUUGUGUUUAUAACCUGAUUAUGAUAGAUCCUUUCGCUGUCUGAUCGGAUCGUUUCCUCAAGAGUGGGAGUUAGGAGAUUUGAGUUCAUAUCAAAGUUGUUCUUUUUUGGAUGAGGAUUAUGUUGAAAUCAUGUCUAUGUUUUCUUUUCAUGUUUAUGCAAUAUCUAGAGAUAAAUCUUUAAAAGGAUUUGGUGAUAGUAGUCCUUAUACUUUUAUGUUUUGGUUUCAAUUUUUUUUUUUAACAGAUCAACAAUUCUUGUGGGUUUGGUUCCUUUUUUGUUUUUUGUUUUUUGUUUUUUUGGUAUUCUUUCCUUCUUCUUCCCAAUUAGUAUCUCUAUAUACCCAACUUUUAGAAGAUUGUAGAUUAGUCGGUUCUCCCCAUGGUAGUAAUUUCUCUACUUCUCUAUUUUCUCAACAUAAUACAUAAUUAAUUGUGUUUUUAUUGCAUUUUUUUCCUGAAGGAAAAUUAGUACAGGAUUAGAAUUUCUUUUAAAAAGCAGCAUUUUUGUUUGAAUUGGAUAUCAAUCAUAAUGCUUUAUUGUUUAAAUGCGUGUCUUAUGUCUUUGAUUUGGUUGGGAUUAAGAUAUUUUUCAUUAAAAGGGAAAAAAAGAGUGAGAUGAAGCUGGUUUAUUUGGAAUGGUCUUUUUUGUCAUUUAGAAAAUUCUUUCCUUAACAAAAGUUUUCCAAAACUAAAGACAUCACCUCUUAAAUGUAGAUUAUUUGUAUCACCUCUUUUUUCUAUCACCAUAUUUUAGAUUAUUUGUGAGCUCAAUUAAUAGCUAAAUGUAGUUUUUCUUAAUAAAUUACCUUCUUGUACUUAAAAUAAAUAUUUGCAUUUUUAGUAGCAAACAAAUAUUUUAAGGUACUUUAUUCUACGACGUUUUGAACAAUUGUGUGAAUUUUUUUGUAUUUUAUAGAAAAAUUGAAAACUUAAUAAAAUUUAUAAUAUAUUAUAUUUGUUUGGCUUCAUGUAAUUUAUAUUUUACGCUGCCAAUUAAUUAAUUAUAUUCCUAGCAAAUGUAGAUUUUUAACACAAAAAUUUAUAUGCUAGAAUGAAUUAAAUAUUAGGGCUAAUUUUAGACACCUCCACUGAGGUUUCUGACAGUCUCACUCCCCUCCCCUGAGGUUUCCGAAAUAUCAAAAACUUCCCCUAAAACUAGAUAGGCAGUCCCAAAUCCAACCCGAUUCAAAAAUAAAAACAAUAAAAAAUUGAAAGCUGGAGAGAGAAAGAACUUGAUACCACAAAUGCCCUCAUUUUCUUGCAUUAGUGAAGUUAUAGGUAAAUGACAACUUUCAAUAGCAAAUUAGCAUAUUUGUAGCCUCUCACACGUUUACAAAGCAUACAUAAAUGAGCUAAGCACACUAAUUUGGCAUCUUACUAUAUGAAACAACCCAAGUCAUACAAGAAACAUAGAAUCAACUAAGCAUAAUUUUGUAGAGGCUUAGCAAAUCAAGUCAUACGAGAAAUAGAAAAUUAGCUAAAUAUAAUCUGCCAUACACAAACAACAACUAUAUCAAUAUAGAUUGUCAAGGAAUAUUGAAAAUUUUCAAAAUUCUUAAAGACUAAACUGGAAGAGGUCUAAUGAGUUCUUCAACUCUUCAACAAAUGUGAGAAUCUAAAGCUUUUCCAUACCAUGAAUCAAGCUUUUUUUGCCAUACAUCAACAAUGGUUUAAAGAGACUAAUUGAAGUGACUUGUUGUACUUGGAGCUUUCUAAGCCAUAUAUCAAUCACCAAGUGCCGCCUGAAUUUGGCGUCAUUUUCUUCAUGGCAUUUUAGAUAUUAAUUAAAGGAAUCUAAAUUAUGACCGUAUUUAUAACUAACUUAGCUAAAUUGGUCCAUAUAAUUGGGAAAUAUUUGGCAACUUGUGUGGGUAUUUAAGUCUUUUACCCAUGAUGAUAUAAGAAAUAAGACCCAAUAUUCUGUCAGGGGAGGUAUCUCAUAUUUUGGAAAUCUCAAGGGAGGGGAGAGAGACUGUCAGAAGGUUUCUAAAAUUAUCCCUAAAAAUUACAAUUGAAAAUUUUUAAUAUCAAUCAACAAUUAUUUUGAAAGCAAAAAAUGUCAAAAUUUCAUGUAAAUAAACAAAUAACAUAGUGUAACAAAUCCUAUAAACUAACCUUGGGCAAUUAAGUCAAAUUUGUAUUAAUUGUAUUCUAUUCUGACAUUUAAAUAUGGAUUAUACCAAAUACUGACAUCCAAGUAUGGAUUAUACCAAACACUAGAAAAUGAAUAUUGCAUCCUAACUUGCUAGACACUAGAAUGAUAAAUUUUUCUUCCUAAUAUUUUGGGUGAAAAAUUUUGUCGAAUAGAAAGAUUUUUCCAUUCUAGUCAUUUUCGUGUAUCAAACGAGGGAUCAAAGCUUUUAAAAACAUCCCAAUAUAUGUUUUCUAAUCAUUAUUCUAGUCAUUUUCGUGUAUCAAAGGAGGGAUCAAAGCUUUUAAAAACAUCCCAAUAUAUCAAAAACAUACACCUCUUCUCCCUCCGCCAGCACUUUCCCUUACCUUCUCCUACUACCACCAUUGCCACUAGCACCACCUCCUACCACCAUCAACACUCACCUCUCCUACCGCCAUCACCCCCCUUCUUCUUCUUCUUCUUCUCUCUCUCUCUCUCUCUCUCUCUCUCUCUCUCUCUCUCUCUCUCUCUCUCUCUCUCUCUCUUCUCUCUCUCCUCUCCCCUCUCCCUUCACCCAGCCAUCCCCCUUUCCACCUCCCCUCUUUCUCCCUACCCCGCCCCCUCUCCCUUUCCUGAUCUGGUCACACCCUUCCUCGCCCCUGAUCUCAUUCCCCCAGCUGUCCCAUUUGACUGAGUACCACACGCUUGCGGAUGUUUUGGAACUGGCUCAGAAACUCCAUUUAUCAUUGCCGAAAAGGACAUCUACCUGAAUCAUUUUUACAUCAAAAAGAUAAAUAAGAUUCUCAUACAUACUUGAAUCCACACAGUACUUUUGUAGCAUAACUAUAUAGAUUUGUUGCAUAACAAAAUGGUAGAAAUAGACGUUACUUCGACCACAAAAGGGGAGAAACAAUGUUGCAAAUUUGAGCGUUUGGCUCUUCUCCUUUUAGAUUACUUAACAAGAUUGUUUUUCCAAAGAUUGUAACUCUCCUUUUUUUUUUUUUAGGGUUUCUCGCAAAGAAUGGAUCCAGCAGACUAAUCCCUGCACCCGACAACUUGCUGGCAGCGAGACUCAAACCAGGGACAACACCCCAUCUUCAGCAGCCCCAUGCCAACAGACCAAGCCCUGGAGGGCCCAAGGAUUGUAACUCUUACUUUACUAUUAAUUCAUGCAUGUUCAUUACCCCAAAAAGAAAGGGCAAACCCUUUUCCCGCGAACAAAAGACACUGCAUUUUACCUGUUACAGUAAGCAACAAGGUAUCGUACUCCACGAUGGAAAUUCACCAAUCCACGAUGUAGAUCAAAUUGGGUAAAAAAAUGGCAAGAGAAAAUCAGCAAAAUUUUUUAAAUUUGCACAGUAGCCCACAAUUGUUCCAAAAUAUCGGUAUCUCAGCACGGUGAACAAAAAAUUCUUUAGAAACCAUUUGGUCUCUCCCCACUCCUUGCCGAUCUGUUCUGUACAUCUGCAUCAUAAUGUGCAAAAGCUGCGUCUAGGGCCUGCAGCAAAAGGCUUGGUCCAUGAAUACACAGCUGCUCUGUCAAAGCAAAAAAAGGGCAAGAAAAUGUCUGGAUAUUUGCCAUGUUUUGUCAAUAGGAUUAAUGAAGUCAUCUUCCAUAUUGAAGUAACAUACAGGAGGUCGUCAAGAAUAUGCUCAUGCCAGAUACCCAGUAACAAAAUGGGUAUACGGACUCAGCUUAUCUGAAAUAUAUCUAACCAAAACAACUAAUAAACUUCUCUUUUGUGUUUCACAAAUGUUCACAUUUCAUGAAAUAGUUGAAAAGAUAACCUGAAGCAUUGGUUGCACAAGAAGCGAAACUUGAUGUCGCAAGUCUGACUGCACAGAUUCCUUGAUCUCCUGCAAAGUUAUAUGCAAGAAAAAUCAACUUAGAAGCAAGUAAAGCAGCUUUUAUAUGGGCAGAAAAAAAUUUGCUACCCAAGCCAGCUACGGAAAGAUACGAGAACACACAAUUAUACUGCACUAACUAUUUCACAUUAUAUUCAAGGUUUUCUUCAAUAAUAAACAGUAUACGCUUGUUAUUAUGCAUGAUCCUAGUGCGAAACUUAAAAAAAACAAACACAUAAAUUAGGCAAACACAUCCUUUUUAGCGCUUCAGACACCUUUUCCACCUUUCAUUAGUUUAGAAUAAUAACUAGCUCAUCUUCUUUUUGGCAUGAGAAAAUCAGGAGGUAGAGAUAGUGGGCUUUUUAGUCUCUUGAGCUGACAAAAAACUAAGAAGAACGAGGAAAAAGUUCAAAAGGUCUCCUGAACUAAACAAUUAUCAAGAAAUAGCAAUUGAUGAUCUUAGCAUUCAUACAAAACAAAUUGAUGUAUCUUUUGAUAACUUUUUUAUUUGUUUCUUCAUUAAACAUUUUACCACCACAAAAGUUGAAGCUUUCGGAGAAAUAUAACAGCAAGAAUCACGAAAUAAGAUGUUCUUAACACUUAGUGACUAGUAAUCUGCUGCCCAGGGAAGGAAAGAGCCUGCUGGCAGUAGCAAAAGGGGAGGGCAUCAGCAUCUUUUACUCUUCCCUUAUCCAUAAAGCUCCUGUAUCCAUAAUAUCACAAUACCUG